rnacentral:lncRNA from 1 species
GUCUGUCUGAGCUGCUUCUGUCUCUGGCUUCAGAUGAGUUUUCGCGGUAGGGCAGCCUGGCCGCAGACAGCUCUAGGCUCACCUCACAUCACCUUUGGCUUCAGAAGGAGGGCCCACCAAGACAAAUUCUCAGGGUAAGACUUCGAUUGGCUAGGCCUCGGUCACGUGCUCAUCUCUGGACCAAUCACUGCAAGAGCAUGGGAGGGGCACCGUGACUGGUCAGGCCCGGGUCGAGUGCCCAGCCCAGUGGUCAGAAGGGAGGUGAGGGGACAGCCCCGCCAGAACCACCAGGAGAAGGGCAGCUCCUCAAAGCAAGGAAAACUGGGUGGAUAAAAGCAACAGAUGUCCAGUCUUGCUAUUUUCUGAAUGCUCAGCUAGACAACAAGACGAAAGCCAACGAAAUGGGUGGAUCUGGUCCCUGGUCCACUUAACUGCUGCCUUGGAUGUAAAUACACAGUGGAAGAAUGUUCACGAAAAUCUUAACAGGCACGGUCUCUGUGCCGUGGGAUUUAAGACAUUCAGUGAGAUAGAUGUGAUCAUCCCCAUUUUAUAAUGAGGAGCUGAGGCCCGGAGGGUAAGGUGUCCUGUCCAAGGUUCCAUGGUCUAUGAGUGAUAGCAACGUGAGACCUGAGAGUCUAGGUCACAAAGCCGGCCACGUCCGUCUUCCCCCGUCACUGCGUCUCCUGAGGGUGGAGCGAGGUCCAGAGGGCCCUGGAGAGCCCGUCGGACGGCAGACAAUCCACAGAUGAUUCUAUGCACGUGAUGAGUUCUGGGAACAGGUGUGAACAGGGACAGAAAGGAAGCAGCCUUGGCGGGAAAUUCCUCUUGUACCGGACGCCACAGAAGGGCAUUCACAUCCCUUGUCUCAAGGGCGGCUCACCACACCCCUGCCAGGUGGCUGUUGUGAUCCCGUUUCAGUGACGAGUGAGGCUGAGCCUCAGAGAGUUUCCGUGAUACCCCCGGGUCACACAGCCAGACGGCGGGGAGCUAGCAGCCAGCCCCAGCUCUGACGUGCACUUUAGAAAGGUCACUCUCACUGUCAUGUGAAAGAAGGACUUGGUAAGACAGAGAAAAGCAGAGAGACUCAAAUGAUCUUCACAAGGGGGCCAAGAGCAUUCAGUGCGGGAAAGGGCUGUCUUUUCAAUGAGUGGUGCUGGGAAAACCGGAUCUCCACAUGUGAAAGGAGGAAGUUAGUCCCUACCUCACGCCGUACACAAAACUUCACUCAAAAUGGAUCAGGGACCUAAGUGUAAGGCCUAAAACAGUAAAACUCUUAGAAGAAAACACAGGACCAAAGAUUCAUGAUGCUGGAUUUGGUGAUGAUUCCUUGCAUAAGACUCCAAAGGGACAGGUAACAAAAGGAAAAAUAGACAAAUUGGACUUCAUGAAAAUUUAAAAAUUUUGUGCAUUAAAAAUUACUGUCAACAGAGUAAAAAGGUAACUCCCAGAAUGGGAGAAAAUAUUUACAAAUCAUAUAUCUGAUAAGGAAUUAAUAUCCAGAACAUACAGAGAAGUAAAACUCAACAACAACAAAAAACCCAAAUCAAAAAUGGGCAAAUGACUUGAAUUGACGUUUUUCUAAAGAAGACAUGCAAAUGGCCGAUAAGCACAUGAGAGAUGAUCAACACCACUGAUCAUGAGGGAGAUGCAAAUCAAAACCGCAGUGAGUACCACCUCACACCCAUCAGGAUGGCUGUUAUAUUAAAAAGCAAACAAAUGGAAAAUAAGAAGUGUUGGUGAGGAUGUGGACAGACUGGAACCCUCGUGCACCUUUGGUGGGAAUGGAAAAAGGUACAGCUGCUCUGGAAAACCGUGUGGUGGUUCCUCAAAAAGUUAAAAAUAGAGUUACUAUAUGACCCAGAAAUUCCACCUCUGGGUAUACACCCAGAAGAACGGAAAACAGUCUCGAACAGAUAUUUGCACACCCAUGCGCACAGCAGCAUUAUUCACAACAGCCAAAAUGCGGAAGUAACCCAAGUGCCCGUCAACAGAUGAGCGGAUAAACAAAAUGGGGCACAUCCAUACCAUGGAAUAUUAUUCGGCCCUAAAAAGGAGGGGAAUUCUGACACGUGCCACAACACAGAUGAGCCCUGAGGACAUUAGGCUGAGUGAAUGUACACAUAGAGACACAACAGAGUGUGAUGGAUUCACGGAUCUGGAGCCCCACAGCAGGAUGCAGAAACGUAGCUGGGCGUCAUCGACGUGCAGGUGACCACAAGGGCACGAUCUCCACGAGCUUGCUCAUGGACGCUUUGAGGAGAGAAGAGGGCUGAGGUCAGAUCCCUCUAGAGCUCAGCGGUAUGGGGUCCAAGCUGGAGGAAGGGCCCGGAGAUGAGGAUGAGGUCAGGGAGGUGGAGGGACGGGAGGAGAGUGUCAGGGAAGGCGAGGGAGGGGUCAGGAGGCACCUGGUCCCCCUCGUUCAGAGAGUCUUUGCUCCCUCCUGGGCCCAGCACCCCUCCACUUUCAGUCCGUGUGAUUUGUGGGGCUGACCCACCCCCAGCUCCAGGAAGCGGGGAGAGAAGGCCUGGCCUGGGUCCAGCUAAUAAUAUUCCAUCUCCUGGCUCUGGUGAUUGGCUCAAGAGUGGGCCUGUGACCAACGUAGGGCCUGGAGAUUCAAUCAUGGGACUUCUGCUGCAAAAACUAGGAAGACAAAACUUUCAGGCUUGAGUUCUAGCUGUGAGGAUAAUGCCAAUCUAGAGCUGCCAGUGCCACAUACAGAGCCUGAGCAUUAAGCCAAAGCAGAGGAAAGUGAGUGGGGAGAUGGAGAGCAAGAGGGAUCCAGUCUGGGUGAUAGCAUAUGAGCUUCUGGAUCCAUCAAUGCCUGAAGCCUGCACAACUGGGUCACCCGAGCCAACCAGUUCCCUUUAUGGCUGUGGCAAAUACUGAAAGCAGGCUCCCUCCACACUCAUUCCCAAUCUGUCUCCCGCCUGCCUUCCUCUACCACAGAGUCUGAAAAGCUGAGUCAUUAUUUCCCAGCCUCCUUUGCAGCCAAGGGUGACCAUGAGACACUUUCUGGCCAAUGAGGAAGCCCCUGGGGAGGGUGCCCCUUCCCGAAUAAAGGGAAGUUCUCAUUAGCAGAAUGCCAUUUUUGUCCACUUUCUCGCUGCUUGGAAUGUGGGUGUGAGGCAAGGAGGCGCAGCCGCCAUCUUGCAGCUACAAGGCAACAAGCACGAGAUGCAGGACAAGCACUAAGGAGGAUGGGACCAAAACACAGGCUGAGCCCAGGUUCCUGACGGCACUGUGGGGCUGCGGCUCCAGGCCUGGGCUGCCCCGUCCUGACGUCUUGCAGAGCGAGGCAAUGAGCCCCUGCCACUGGGUUUCUGUUUCCCGCGUGGAGUGGUGUUGGCUGACACACAGAGCCAGGUGAAG